rnacentral:rRNA from 1 species
UGGAAGAAAAAUGUAACAAGGUUUCCGUAGGUGAACCUGCGGAAGGAUCAUUACCGAGUGAGGGCCCUCUGGGUCCAACCUCCCACCCGUGUCUAUCGUACCUUGUUGCUUCGGCGGGCCCGCCGUUUCGACGGCCGCCGGGGAGGCCUUGCGCCCCCGGGCCCGCGCCCGCCGAAGACCCCAACAUGAACGCUGUUCUGAAAGUAUGCAGUCUGAGUUGAUUAUCGUAAUCAGUUAAAACUUUCAACAACGGAUCUCUUGGUUCCGGCAUCGAUGAAGAACGCAGCGAAAUGCGAUAAGUAAUGUGAAUUGCAGAAUUCAGUGAAUCAUCGAGUCUUUGAACGCACAUUGCGCCCCCUGGUAUUCCGGGGGGCAUGCCUGUCCGAGCGUCAUUGCUGCCCUCAAGCACGGCUUGUGUGUUGGGCCCCCGUCCCCCUCUCCCGGGGGACGGGCCCGAAAGGCAGCGGCGGCACCGCGUCCGGUCCUCGAGCGUAUGGGGCUUUGUCACCUGCUCUGUAGGCCCGGCCGGCGCCAGCCGACACCCAACUUUAUUUUUCUAAGGUGACCUCGGAUCAGUAGCUCCCGUC